GAUGAACGCUGGCGGCGUGCCUAAUACAUGCAAGUCGAGCGAACGGAUGAGAAGCUUGCUUCUCUGAUGUUAGCGGCGGACGGGUGAGUAACACGUGGAUAACCUACCUAUAAGACUGGGAUAACUUCGGGAAACCGGAGCUAAUACCGGAUAAUAUAUUGAACCGCAUGGUUCAAAAGUGAAAGACGGUCUUGCUGUCACUUAUAGAUGGAUCCGCGCUGCAUUAGCUAGUUGGUAAGGUAACGGCUUACCAAGGCAACGAUGCAUAGCCGACCUGAGAGGGUGAUCGGCCACACUGGAACUGAGACACGGUCCAGACUCCUACGGGAGGCAGCAGUAGGGAAUCUUCCGCAAAGGGCGAAAGCCUGACGGAGCAACGCCGCGUGAGUGAUGAAGGUCUUCGGAUCGUAAAACUCUGUUAUUAGGGAAGAACAUAUGUGUAAGUAACUGUGCACAUCUUGACGGUACCUAAUCAGAAAGCCACGGCUAACUACGUG
rnacentral:rRNA from 1 species